rnacentral:rRNA from 1 species
GACGGAGGAUGCAAGUGUUAUCCGGAAUCACUGGGCGUAAAGCGUCUGUAGGUGGUUUAAUAAGUCAACUGUUAAAUCUUGAGGCUCAACCUCGAAAUCGCAGUCGAAACUAUUAGACUAGAGUAUAGUAGGGGUAAAGGGAAUUUCCAGUGGAGCGGUGAAAUGCGUAGAUAUUGGAAAGAACACCGAUGGCGAAGGCACUUUACUGGGCUAUUACUAACACUGAGAGACGAAAGCUAGGGUAGCAAAUGGG